UGGGUGUAACCUUCAGCUCCUGUCACUAUGACAUCCAUCCAGAUCCUCAUGGUCUCAGCAGAUGGUGCCACCAUGUAGAAGAUUCUGUCCCGGGUCUUCACGCUGAAGGUUGAGAAAGUCUGCAGAUGCUGGAAAUCCAAGCAACACCCACAAAAUGCUGGAGGAACUCAGCAGGCCAGGCAGCAUCUGUGGAAAGGAGUAAACAGUCCAUAUGUUGGGCUGAGACCACUUCCUCAAGACUGAGGAUUUGAAUUUGUUCAUAUUGUACUGUGUUGCUGCAAAAGAAAAACUAAUUUUUGUGACAUUUCUACCUUGGUAACAGAUAAGGAAAGAAGAAGGACAAAGAAGAUAAAGAAGGAGCCUCCCAUAUACUUACCUUAUCCCAGCCUGAUCUUGAGGUAAAUAUCUGGUAAGUUCUUUCUUCUUCCCUCUCAUGUUUGUAACUGCAGCUAAUUUCCAUGCCCAUGGCAGUAAAUCUGAAGUUGAACAUGUCUUUCUGUGACAUUUCCAUCGUUUUGUCUCUACCGUGCUUGCUACAGACUUGAGUUAUCAUGUUGCCUCCUCUGACCUCAUGCCAAACUGGCAAGCAUUUGGCUAUUCUUCCUGGCCAAGAUUCACAUUUAACUGUCAUUCAACCAUACAUGAAUAUAGCCAAA